AUAUUGGACAAUGGGCGAAAGCCUGAUCCAGCCAUCCCGCGUGUGUGAAGAAGGUCUUNGGAUUGNANAGCACUUUAAGUUGGGGNGAAGAGUUGUAGGCUAAUACCUUGCAAUUUUGACGUUACCAACAGAAUAAGCACCGGCUAACUUCGUGCCAGCAGCAGCGGUAAUACGAAGGGUGCAAGCGUUAAUCGGAAUUACUGGGCGUAAAGCGCGCGUAGGUGGUUCGUUAAGUUGGAAGUGAAAGCCCCGGGCUUAACCUGGGAAUUGCUUUCAAAACUGACGAGCUAGAGUACGGUAGAGGGUAGUGGAAUUUCCUGUGUAGCGGUGAAAUGCGUAGAUAUAGGAAGGAACAUCAGUGGCGAAGGCGACUACCUGGACUGAUACUGACACUGAGGUGCGAAAGCGUGGGGAGCAAACAGG
rnacentral:rRNA from 1 species